rnacentral:rRNA from 1 species
GGACCCGCACAAGUAGUGGAGCAUGUGGUUUAAUUCGAUGCAACGCGAAGAACCUUACCAGGGUUUGACAUCCUGCGAAUCUCUUGGAAACGAGAGAGUGCCUUCGGGAGCGCAGUGACAGGUGGUGCAUGGCUGUCGUCAGCUCGUGUCGUGAGAUGUUGGGUUAAGUCCCGCAACGAGCGCAACCCACGUCUUUAGUUGCCAGCAUUUAGUUGGGCACUCUAGAGAGACCGCCGGUGAUAAACCGGAGGAAGGUGUGGAUGACGUCAAGUCAUCAUGCCCCUUACAUCCUGGGCUACACACGUACUACAAUGCUACGGACAAAGAGCAGCAAGUUCGCGAGGACAAGCAAAUCUCAUAAACCGUGGCUCAGUUCAGAUCGUAGGCUGCAACUCGCCUACGUGAAGGAGGAAUCGCUAGUAAUCG